CACUAAGAAGCUAAACCGGAUCAGCGCUAGCCUUUUAAGCUAGAGACUGGCGGACCCCAUCCGCCCUUAGUGU
rnacentral:tRNA from 1 species